UGGAGGAACAACUUCAUAUUUUAGGUGCACUUUAUCCAUCAGAAACAGAUAAGGUACAACAAAUUCAUAUAAAAAUGAUGAAAGCAACAAUGUUUAGAAAGAAGUUACCUUUGAGAAGCCAACCCACAGUCUUCUUACUUGAUGUCAGUAUAAAGAAGGAAGAGUUCACAGUACAAGCCUAUCUUUACCUGCUUCUUGGAUGACUUGACCAAUGGCUGCUUGAUUUUGUUGUUUUAGAAAACAUUCUCUCUUACAUUCCAUUAACUGCUCGAAAUCCUGCCACAUUUUAAUUUGCUUCAUAUUAGGCCCGUGACUUUCCCGUACAACUUUCUGCUUCUCUCGUAAUUUCUUCCCAAGGUUUUCUUGUUCAAGGAUCAUUCGUGUAUACUGUUCUCGAAUUGCCUUUCGUCUCUCCUGUGGAUCUGGGGAGACGUACGUCUUCAUUUCUUCUUUAACACGCUGUAGCUGUACUUCUAGAUUUUUUUUCAUGCAGUUCACAUAGUGGUAGUUACUUUCUUCCUGAGUGCACUCC
rnacentral:lncRNA from 1 species